rnacentral:rRNA from 1 species
AGUGAACGCUGGCGGUAGGCCUAACACAUGCAAGUCGAACGGCAGCACAGUAAGAGCUUGCUCUUACGGGUGGCGAGUGGCGGACGGGUGAGGAAUACAUCGGAAUCUACUUUUUCGUGGGGGAUAACGUAGGGAAACUUACGCUAAUACCGCAUACGACCUACGGGUGAAAGCAGGGGAUCUUCGGACCUUGCGCGAUCCAAGGAGGCGAUGUCGGAUUAGCUAGUUGGCGGGGUAAAGGCCCACCAAGGCGACGAUCCGUAGCUGGUCUGAGAGGAUGAUCAGCCACACUGGAACUGAGACACGGUCCAGACUCCUACGGGAGGCAGCAGUGGGGAAUAUUGGACAAUGGGCGCAAGCCUGAUCCAGCCAUACCGCGUGGGUGAAGAAGGCCUUCGGGUUGUAAAGCCCUUUUGUUGGGAAAGAAAAGCAGCAGGUUAAUACCCCGCUGUUCUGACGGUACCCAAAGAAUAAGCACCGGCUAACUUCGUG